AGAGCGAACGCUGGCGGCAGGCUUAACACAUGCAAGUCGAGCGGGCGUAGCAAGUACGUCAGCGGCAGACGGGAGAGUAACACGUGGGAACGUACCCUUUGGUUCGGAACAACACAGGGAAACUUGUGCUAAUACCGGAUAAGCCCUUACGGGGAAAGAUUUAUUGCCAAAGGAUCGGCCCGCGUCUGAUUAGCUUGUUGGUGAGGUAACGGCUCACCAAGGCUACGAUCAGUAGCUGGUCUGAGAGGAUGAUCAGCCUCACUGGGACUGAGACACGGCCCAGACUCCUACGGGAGGCAGCAGUGGGGAAUAUUGGACAAUGGGCGCAAGCCUGAUCCAGCCAUGCCGCGUGGAUGGAUGAAGGCCCUAGGGUUGUAAAGUCCUUUCGACGGGGAAGAUAAUGACGGUACCCGUAGAAGAAGCCCCGGCUAACUUCGUGCCAGCAGCCGC
rnacentral:rRNA from 1 species